GACGAACGCUGGCGGCGUGCUUAACACAUGCAAGUCGAACGGAAAGGCCCCCUUGUGGGGUACUCGAGUGGCGAACGGGUGAGUAACACGUGAGUAACCUACCCUUUACUUUGGGAUAACUUCAGGAAACUGGGGCUAAUACCGGAUAGGAGCUCCUGCUGCAUGGUGGGGGUUGGAAAGUUUCGGCGGUUGGGGAUGGACUCGCGGCUUAUCAGCUUGUUGGUGGGGUAGUGGCUCACCAAGGCUUUGACGGGUAGCCGGCCUGAGAGGGUGACCGGCCUCAUUGGGACUGAGAUACGGCCCAGACUCCUACGGGAGGCAGCAGUGGGGAAUAUUGCACAAUGGGCGGAAGCCUGAUGCAGCAACGCCGCGUGCGGGAUGACGGCCUUCGGGUUGUAAACCGCUUUCGCCUGUGACGAAGCGUGAGUGACGGUAAUGGGUAAAGAAGCACCGGCUAACUACGUG
rnacentral:rRNA from 1 species